ACAUACGGCCAUAGGGUGAGGAAAACAGGGCUUCCCGUCCGCUCAGCCAUACUUAAGCCUCACGCCGGCUGGUUAGUAAUUUGGUGGGUGACCACAAGUGAAUCCCAGCUGCUGUAUGUU
rfam:Talaromyces islandicus isolate WF-38-12 genome assembly, contig: WF-38-12_scaffold00007